rnacentral:snoRNA from 1 species
AGGUCAUUUCGAGGAGGGUUGGGGUGGUGGCUGUGGAUCAAAAAGCUCUGAAGGCAGUGGCCAAAGACUGAAAUUCACUACAGAGUGACAAGAAG